UUCACGCCGCCGAAUUGGCGAGGGCUAC
rnacentral:sRNA from 1 species